rnacentral:rRNA from 1 species
GGUGCACCUGUGUCGGCCCUUGAAAAUCCAGUGGAGACGGUGUUAUUUUUCGUGCCGGACCGUACCAAUAUCCGCAGCAGGUCUCCAAGGUGAACAGCCUCUAGUCGAUAGAACAAUGUAGGUAAGGGAAGUCGGCAAAUUGGAUCCGUAACUUCGGGAAAAGGAUUGGCUCUAAGGGCCGGGUCGGUCGGGCUGGAGUCCGAAGCGGGCCUGGUCGCGGCAGGGGCUGGGUGAGGUCGCAAGAUCGAGCUCGGACCAUCGCCGAGACCUUCCCCGUGGACGGCCUCAGCUGUGCGGCGGUGGUCUUUCGGGGCGUGCCGUUCGCUUCGGCCGGCAUCUAACGGCCAACUUAGAACUGGUACGGACCACGGGGAAGUCCGACUGUCUAAUUAAAACAAAGACAUUGCGAUGGCCGUUGCCUGGUGUUGACGCAAUGUGAUUUCUGCCCAGUGCUCUGAAUGUCAACGUGACGAGAUUCAAACAAGCGCGGGUAAACGGCCGGGAGUAACUA